rnacentral:rRNA from 1 species
AGAGCGAACGCUGGCGGCAGGCUUAACACAUGCAAGUCGAGCGGGCGUAGCAAUACGUCAGCGGCAGACGGGUGAGUAACGCGUGGGAACGUACCUUUUGGUUCGGAACAACCCAGGGAAACUUGGGCUAAUACCGGAUAAGCCCUUACGGGGAAAGAUUUAUCGCCGAAAGAUCGGCCCGCGUCUGAUUAGCUAGUUGGUGAGGUAAUGGCUCACCAAGGCGACGAUCAGUAGCUGGUCUGAGAGGAUGAUCAGCCUCACUGGGACUGAGACACGGCCCAGACUCCUACGGGAGGCAGCAGUGGGGAAUAUUGGACAAUGGGCGCAAGCCUGAUCCAGCCAUGCCGCGUGGGUGAUGAAGGCCCUAGGGUUGUAAAGCCCUUUCGGCGGGGAAGAUAAUGACGGUACCCGCAGAAGAAGCCCGGCUAACUUCGCGCCAGCAGCCGC